GAUUAACGCUGGCGGCGUGCAUAACACAUGCGAGUCGAACGAUGAAACUUAGUAGACUUCUUCGGAAAGACACUAAGCGGCUUAGUGGCGAACGGGUGAGUAACGCGUGAGUAACCUGCCUUACACAAGGGGAUAGCCUUUGGAAACGAAGAAUAAUACCCUAUAAAACCAUAAAAGCACAUGCUAGAAUGGUCAAAGUGAUAGCGGUGUAAGAUGGACUUGCGUCUGAUUAGCUAGUUGGUGAGAUAAAAGCUCACCAAGGCAACGAUCAGUAGCCGGCUUGAGAGAGUGUACGGCCACAUUGGGACUGAGACACGGCCCAGACUCCUACGGGAGGCAGCAGUGGGGAAUUUUGCACAAUGGGGGAAACCCUGAUGCAGCGACGCCGCGUGAUUUAGAAGGCCUUCGGGUUGUAAAAAUCUUUUGUAUAGGAAGAAAAUGACAGUACUAUACGAAUAAGGUCCGGCUAAUUACGUG
rnacentral:rRNA from 1 species